AUGCCUCUUCCAUUCUUUUCUUCAACCUUACAAUUCGGUAAACUCCCUCCUUCCAUUACAACCGAAACAACAACAAUAGAAAAUAUUCCUCCAAUUUCCUCUCUGUUUCUUAUUAUAAUCGAAUUCUGCUUCCAUUCACUAUCCCCAUGCUCAAACCUUCCUCUAUUCUCGCGCAACAAACAACCAAUUCCUUGCGCCGGAAAACGAUACUCUUUCUGGCUUCACCCGCGAAAUACUCCCUUUGUCUAG